UUGUGGACAAGAAAAGCUAUGGACUUAUACUAGAGUGAGUGCUUAUUUAUUGAAAAUCACUGAGAGAGAAAGGGACUGGUGUGUGUAAAAAAUUAGAAAAUUAUGUAUUUCUAAAAUGAGAAAACAGGAGGAUAAGGCAGCAAAUAGAAUUAUCAAUUCACAAUCUAUACGAGUUCAUUUGCCUAUUAGUACAACUUUUGCUCCAUCAUUGCUCCAUCAUUAAAUAUAACUAAAUCAAGUGUUUCAGCAACUUUAAAGAGAGGAGUUGAUGAUUCUCCUCUUGAUAGAGCUUUUGACUUGCAAAC
rnacentral:misc_RNA from 1 species